AUGAUGGAACUGCAAGAGGCGUUUUUAUCUCUUACUUUGGCGAUAUGCAGCGAACUGAUCAGUGCAGAUGACUUCAAUGUCGUGGCUCUAACGAUCGUCCCAGCAGAAGGUGUAUUUGUGGCGAAGCUCAAGACUAUAGUAGAAGAGAACUGUGAGGCCACGGCUAACAGCCUAAGAAUCGUCAAGCUUUGCGGUCGGAUUGCUGUUACAGUGAUGCGGCACGGCCAGUACAGCGCGCACUUCAAGAAUCAGAAAUUCAUGGAGACACUGUCCAAGGCUCCGGGAAUCAUGUCUAGCCUUGAAAGCUACAUGCUCUUCGCUGGGACUGAUUGUGGAGCGAAGAAGACCGCCAGGCCCCUCCUCUCUUGA
rnacentral:rRNA from 1 species